UAAAGAUGGAAAUGGAGUUUUGUAAUUUUUCUUUUUCUUUCUUUCUUUCUUUCUUUCUUUCUUUCUUUCUUUCUUUCUUUCUUUCUUUCAUUUAUUCAUCCUAAAGACAGAGAGAGAGAGAACAUGCUAGCACUCAGGAGUGGGGAGUGGGGAGAGGAAAAGAGAAUCUCAAGCCAACUCCCUACUGAGCAUGGAGUCCCAUGGUCAUAACCUGAGCUGAAACCGAAAGUAAGUUCAUCAACCCACUGAGCCACCCAGGCACCCCCAGUAAAUUCUCUUUCAAACAAAAACUUUAAACUUUGAAGAUUUUGCUGUCAUAUAGAACAUACCUUCACUUUUUUUUUUUUUUUUUACUUUUAGAAACUGUUUAUUUUCCUUUAACCUUAUUGCCAUUUUGUUUGCUUCUGUGGAAGAGCAGCUUAAGACCACUCAGUGGUUGUUCCUACCCAUUCAGUGGCCUGAGCAGUGGCUGCUGCAGACCAAUCUUCAGUGGCUGGCUGAGUGCUCCAGUCUUCAGUAGGGAACUGUUGAAUAGGCACAGAGGGCACCUGCACGCCUUCAGACCAGUCUGCAACUUCAGGCUGAGUCACAGCCUUUUAAGCAGCGGCCUGUUCUUCCUUUUCAAACUCUUCAGGGUCUCUGUAGAAGUAGAGAUCAGGCAUGUUUUCCUGUGAGUGCUCACGGGAAAUGGUGCCAUGCAUGUGCAAGACUUCCUGGGCUAGCAUCCACCACAUCAGACCCACUGAGUGAGCUCCCUUGUUGUUUCAAGGGGUGGCAAUGUCCAUGUAGCUCAGAGAAGAGUCUGUGUUACACAGAGCAAUGGUAGGCAGGUUAAUGUAAGACGCUUCUGUGAGAGGCUGGUGGUCAGCCCUGGGAUCAGUAAGAUCUGGGAUCUGGUGAGAAGCCUUGGCUCUUGGAAGGCUGCCUGCCUGGAUCUGGUUAGUCAAGUUUCCAGAAGUGAAGUGGCCAGCAAUAGGAGUGGCUCCAGUAGCAGCAGUAAAUUUCAGCACAGCAAACUGGCCAGUAUUCCUGGAUGAUAUGACACUGACAUCGGCAGGGUUUUCAAUGGCAACAGUGGCACGAGCUGCCAACAGAAGCUUCUCCCAGGUUCUCUUCAGAUUUAUGAUGUAGAUAC
rnacentral:lncRNA from 12 species